rnacentral:misc_RNA from 1 species
GGGGGUAGGGGGUGGGGGGAAAUCUAGUAUCUUGAAUAUCCAACUUCACUCCCCCCCUAAAGUCCGCGAAAGCACCAAAAUAUUAAUGAGAAAACUGGCACAAUAUCAUGUGGCGAAAUGUCCCCACCAGAGCACCACAAAAUCAAAACUGAAAUCUUGCAAAUUGAGUGCACUCUUGCCUCUCUACUUCUUUGUCUAUGAGGAAUGUCUUGAGGGGUCUGAGAAGCUCUGAAGGAGGUACAUUAUGUUCCCUGUCCCAAUUGAAGGAGAGCCACCUAGCUACCUAUCACCUUCGUUGCCAGACCUCAUUAAGCCACACGAGUGCUCCUGUUUGAUCACUAUCAUUUAGGGUUGGAUUUGAUUUGGGAGAGAGUGAAGUGAAGACAAUUCGAUGAUUGAAAUCCCAAGGACCACGAUUUUUUUCUUUUU